rnacentral:tRNA from 1 species
GGUGCUGUGGUCUAAUUGGAAAAGAUACCUGUCGAUUACUUUUUUAUAUUAAAGCAGGAGAUUGAGGUUCGAGUCCUCACGGCACCACCA